GGCCCUAUGGUGCAGUGGUAUGCACCGCUGUUAAAGAUCAAUUGUGUUUUCAAUGCUUCAGCAGCUAUGUUGGGUUCGAUUCCCAAUAGGGCCA